rnacentral:rRNA from 1 species
GAUGAACGCUGGCGGCGUGCCUAAUACAUGCAAGUCGAGCGAACAGACGAGGAGCUUGCUCCUCUGACGUUAGCGGCGGACGGGUGAGUAACACGUGGAUAACCUACCUAUAAGACUGGGAUAACUUCGGGAAACCGGAGCUAAUACCGGAUAAUAUAUUGAACCGCAUGGUUCAAUAGUGAAAGACGGUUUUGCUGUCACUUAUAGAUGGAUCCGCGCCGCAUUAGCUAGUUGGUAAGGUAACGGCUUACCAAGGCGACGAUGCGUAGCCGACCUGAGAGGUGGUCGGCCAACCUGGGAGAUGAGACAGGGCCCAGCUUCCGAGGGAGGGAAGAGGGGGGGAUUCUUCCGAAAGGGGCGAAGGCCGGCGGGAGCAACGCCGGUGGAGUAAUAAGGUUCUUGGGAGCUAAAAACUUUUUUAGAGGGAAAAAAAAAAUGUGAAAGAAACUAUGCACUUUUGGACGGAACAUAAUCAGAAGGCCCCGGCAACCUACGUG